GACGAACGCUGGCGGCGUGCCUAACACAUGCAAGUCGAACGGAAAGGCCCUGCUUUUGUUGGGUGCUCGUGUGGCGAACGGGUGAGUAACACGUGAGUAACCUGCCCUUGACUUUGGGAUAACUUCAGGAAACUGGGGCUAAUACCGGAUAGGAGCUCCUGCUGCACGGUGGGGGUUGGAAAGUUUCGGCGGUUGGGGAUGGACUCGCGGCUUAUCAGCUGGUUGGUGGAGUAGUGGAUUACCAAGGUUUUGAAGGGUAGCCGGCCUGGGAGGGGUACCGGGCACAAUGGGACUGAGAGACGGCGCAGACGCCUACGGGAGGCAGCAGGGGGGAGUAUUGCACAAUGAGCGCAAGCCUGAUGCGGCGACGCCGCGUGCGGGAUGCCGGCCUUCGGGUUGUGAACCACUUUCGAAGUUGACGAAGCGUGAGUGACGGUAAUGGGUAAGGAAGCACCGGCUAACUACGUG
rnacentral:rRNA from 1 species